rnacentral:rRNA from 1 species
UACGGAGGGUGCAAGCGUUAUCCGGAUUCACUGGGUUUAAAGGGUGCGUAGGUGGGCAGGUAAGUCAGUGGUGAAAUCCCCGAGCUUAACUUGGGAACCUGCCAUUGAUACGUAGUUUGUCUUGAAUACUGUGGAGGUUAGCGGAAUAUGUCAUCGUAGCGGUGAAAUGCUUAGAUAUGGACAUAGAACAUCAAUUGCGAAGGCAGCUGGCUACACAAAUAUUGACACUGAUGCACGAAAGCGUGGGGAUCAAACAGG